rnacentral:rRNA from 1 species
UAGGGAAUCUUCGGCAAUGGACGAAAGUCUGACCGAGCAACGCCGCGUGAGUGAAGAAGGUUUUCGGAUCGUAAAACUCUGUUGUUAGAGACGAACAAGGACGUUAGUAACUGAACGUCCCCUGACGGUAUCUAACCAGAAAGCCACGGCUAACUACGUGCCAGCAGCCGCGGUAAUACGUAGGUGGCAAGCGUUGUCCGGAUUUAUUGGGCGUAAAGCGAGCGCAGGCGGUUUCUUAAGUCUGAUGUGAAAGCCCCCGGCUCAACCGGGGAGGGUCAUUGGAAACUGGGAGACUUGAGUGCAGAAGAGGAGGGUGGAAUUCCAUGUGUGGCGGUGAAAUGCGUAGAUAUAUGGAGGAACACCAGUGGCGAAGGCGGCUCUCUGGACUGUAACUGACGCUGAGGCUCGAAAGCGUGGGGAGCAAACAGG